UCUUAAGGAUGAGCAAAGAAAGUGGUUUCUUAACAUAAAAUUUAUUACUGGUGAAGAUGCUGUGAA
rnacentral:pre_miRNA from 1 species